AUGUUGAGGUAUGAUCUCGAGGACCAGCUCUCGGCCAUCUACACUGAUGAGGAGGCCUACUGGCGGAUGCACGGCACCCAACGUUGGGUGCUUCAGGGCGACGCCAACACGGCCUACUUCCAGGCGAUUGCCAACGGCCGGCGGCGCCGCAACUCCAUUCAUUCCUUGUGGGCGGGUGACUCUCAGCUUUUUCGACCCUCGGAUAUCCGCGCGCACGUAGAUGGCUUUUAUAAAGCCCUUUUUACCCCCACCCCUCGGGGUGGGGCUGCACUGGCCCCCGACACCUGG
rnacentral:rRNA from 1 species